GCGAACGCUGGCGGCAGGCUUAACCCAUGCCAGUCGAACGGGCAUAGCAAUAUGUCAGUGGCAGACGGGUGAGUAACGCGUGGGAACGUACCUUUUGGUUCGGAACAACACAGGGAAACUUGUGCUAAUACCGGAUAAGCCCUUACGGGGAAAGAUUUAUCGCCGAAAGAUCGGCCCGCGUCUGAUUAGCUAGUUGGUAGGGUAAUGGCCUACCAAGGCGACGAUCAGUAGCUGGUCUGAGAGGAUGAUCAGCCACAUUGGGACUGAGACACGGCCCAAACUCCUACGGGAGGCAGCAGUGGGGAAUAUUGGACAAUGGGCGAAAGCCUGAUCCAGCCAUGCCGCGUGAGUGAUGAAGGCCCUAGGGUUGUAAAGCUCUUUUGUGCGGGAAGAUAAUGACGGUACCGCAAGAAUAAGCCCCGGCUAACUUCGUG
rnacentral:rRNA from 1 species